GGCGAAAAACAGCAUUUCGCCAAGUUCCCACCCCUCCAGCAAGGGUGCAGACUCUCCGGCAGGCCUCACGGGCUAGCUUCAACUCAUUACCUCUUCGCCAGGAGGGACGACACCCAGAUCAUUUACAGCGAAAGCUGGUUACCAUGGGGAAAACUUAGAAGUUCUCCUGGUGGGGAACUGGAGCCUCAGCCAACAGCCACAUAAGUCAGCUUUGAAGUGAGUCCUCCAACCCAAUCAAGCUUUCAGAUGACUGCAACUCCAUGAGAAACCCCUCAUCCAGCCAAGGUGUGUAUGUCACUUCAGUUGUGUCCAGCUCUUUGUGACCCCACGGACUGUAGCUCACCAGGCUCCUCUGUUCAUGGGAUUUCCCAGCAAGAAUCCUGGAAUGGGUUGCCAUUCCCUUCUCAGGAGAUCUUCCCAAACCAGGGAUCAAACACAUUGCAGGCAGAUUCUUUACCAUCUGAGCCACCAGCAAAGCCCUUAACUCUUAGUUCAUUUCCUUAAAGAUGAAGCCUCCUGCCCUCGACAGUCUUUCCUGCUUUCCUUCUGCUCAUUUGAAAACAUGGUUGAAACAAAGCCAACACUAACUGCAAAGACAGUACUCUAAGAGAACAGAUGAAGAAGCUGAAAGAAAACAGAGUCCUUCAAUGCUUCAAGGCCGGAAGGCGUGGACUGUUUUAUGAGAGAAAAAUGAACUUACUUAACCAAGCAUUUUUUGUUGUUGUUCUUGUUACAACUUGUCUAUGUAUCCUGGCAUA